rnacentral:rRNA from 1 species
CCUACGGGUGGCAGCAGUAGGGAAUCUUCGGCAAUGGGGGCAACCCUGACCGAGCAACGCCGCGUGAGUGAAGAAGGUUUUCGGAUCGUAAAGCUCUGUUGUAAGAGAAGAACGAGUGGGAGAGUGGAAAAUUCACACUGUGACGGUAACUUACCAGAAAGGGACGGCUAACUACGUGCCAGCAGCCGCGGUCAUACGUAGGUCCCGAGCGUUAUCCGGAUUUAUUGGGCGUAAAGCGAGCGCAGGCGGUUAGAUAAGUCUGAAGUUAAAGGCUGUGGCUUAACCAUAGUACGCUUUGGAAACUGUUUAACUUGAGUGCAGAAGGGGAGAGUGGAAUUCCAUGUGUAGCGGUGAAAUGCGUAGAUAUAUGGAGGAACACCGGUGGCGAAAGCGGCUCUCUGGUCUGUAACUGACGCUGAGGCUCGAAAGCGUGGGGAGCAAACAGGAUUAGAUACCCCAGUAGUC